rnacentral:lncRNA from 1 species
CCCAGUAGCUUGUGUUCCUUCUCUCACUCAUUUCGAAUCUGAAAACUGGAAAAGAAAGUUCUUUCAUACUGAUUUUCAGAUCUGUGGCUGAUACUGACCAUGUGAAUCUGCAUAUUUCACAGUUCUGGAGCGGGCAGGCACUCUUAUCUGGAAUUUAAGUGUAUAAUGAAGCAGUUCUACUCCAACCAGGACCAAGGUUCGAACAGUACUGUCCAGCAUGCUCUGAGCUUGAGAGUGUGGGAUCUCAAGUUUCUUUCAGGUCUUACAGUUCCUCUGAAACUGGAAACAAGUUCUCCAGGGAAACCUUGAUCAUCUGUGAUCAUCUGUGCUUAUUAUCCUUCGGGGCUAAGAGAACAUCUCAUUUAUGUCACGAGAGUCAUGACAUACAAAUGUUGCACACCUCAUAACCAAAUAUCUUUCAGUCCUCCUGUGAAGUCAAUUAUAAUCAUGGCUUCAAAUGAGAUGAAAAGAUUUCUAGUGGUAGGGAUGUUUGAAAUGGAGCUACAGUGGGGUGUGAAUUUGAUUCUACUACUUCAGAGGGAUUAAAAUCUAUCUUAGAACUUUCUACAGUUUAUUUUUUCUUGACUUGGGUCUUUCUUGAUGUCUUCUUGAAAGUAUGUUUAUGCAAGACAAAGUACCUGAUCAAUGAUAUGUAUCCAGUAGUUGUUUUUCUGAUGAAUGAAUGAAUGAGAACCUAUAUUGCUUCCUGUUUUUGUCUAUUUCAUACGUUUUGUUUAAUCCUGCAUAUAGUUUCCUACCUGGGGGUCUGAGGAUGUCUAGUGGGUAAAGGUAGUAUUAAUAACAUGUCAUUGAAUGAUCUUCAAAAUUUCGGAAAUGUUCAAGAAAUCUUAAAAUGUUCAACUUAUUUGCUCUUGGCUAGAAUUAUAUCAACAUAAUUUGUUAAUAGUAGCUCUCCUAUGCUGAUCAGAUUCCCUAAUUAGUAACUAUUUAAGCCCUUGAUUUAUUUUAUUUUUUUUUAAUUUUUAAUUCAAUUUAUUUUUUUUGAGAUGGGAGUCUUGCUCUGUCGCCCAGGCUGGAGUGCAGUGGCGUGAUCUCGGCUCACUGCAAACUCCACCUCCCAGGUUCACGCCAUUCUCCUGCCUCAACCUCCUGAGUAGCUGGGACUACAGGCCCGCCAACAAGCCCGGCUAAUUUUUUGUAUUUUUAGUAGAGAUGGGGUUUCACCACGUUAGCCAGGAUGGUCUCGAUCUCCUGACGUUGUGAUCCUCCUGCCUCGGCGUCCCAAAGUGCUGGGAUUACAGGUGUGAGCCAGCGUGCCAGGCCGAUUUAUUUUUUUUUAAAAGAGUAAAAAUUAUUGCUUAACAAAUACAUUUUUGUGACUAACAUUUCCAGAAUAUGGACUUUAUGGGGGUAAACAAAAAAAGAAGGAUUUGGCAUAAAAAAUGUGUUGGGAACUAUAAAAAUUUGAAUAUAAUAAGUGCUAAAACUAGUCUGAUGAGACUUCAGGAACAGCCAAAAUACACCCUAUUGGAGAGGUAAUGACAAGGACAUAUUAGUUUAAACUUCUUUUUGCCUGAUCUUGGCUUUAGACUGAUGAUACAUCCUUCUAAGAAUGAAGUAUUUCAUUUAAAGUGAAAAGAUUGCCUAGGUGCAGUAGCUCACACCUGUAAUCCCAGCACUUUGGAAGGCAGAAACCGGCUGAUAGGUUGAGCCUAGGAGCUCAAAGUUGCUCAGUCCCGGCAACAGAAUGAAACCCUGUCUCAAAAAAAACAAACGAAAAAGGAAAAAAAAAAAUUAAGUCAAUUUUAGAUUGAAGAAAUCUCUUGGAAGCUAAGUUCAGUCUUAGAAGAAAGUGACGAUCACAAGUGUGAUCUGGGCUAAUAAUUAAAUUUUAAAAUAUGUGAUAAGGCAAAAUGUGUGUUGAUAACAGGACAAAGAGAGGACAGUCAUUUCCCAAACUCAUAUGAGUAAUUCUCAGUUUCAUAGUUCUUCCAUUUGUUUUGAAUUGGUACCAUUUACAAAGGCAAAGGAGAGAUGCUGAGCCGGUUCCAGAUAUUACCUCUCCCAAUUGAACAAAAGCUCUCGAUCUUCUCUUUGUAUCGUAGAGUCAUUUCAGGACAGUUUUCCCGAGUGAAAGAAUGUUUGUUUGUUUUCUUCCUAAGUGUCUGGUAUACUUUUCUAUACAAGUAAAACAAAUAAAAAACUUUACAAAAAA